UGCUCCUCAGAGGAAAGGGGCGGUUGGUGUGGCCUCCAUUGUUCGUGUUUCAAGGUGCCAUGAGGGGUGACAGAGGCCGUGGUCGUGGUGGGCGCUUUGGUUCCAGAGGAUGCCCAGGAGGAGGGUUCAGGCCCUUGGUAUCACAUAUCCCAUUUGACUUCUAUUUGUGUGAAAUGGCCUUCCCCCGGGUCAAGCCAGCACCUGAUGAAACUUCCUUCAGUGAGGCCUUGCUGAAGAGGAAUCAGGACCUGGCUCCUAAUUCUGCUGAACAGGCAUCUAUCCUUUCUCUGGNCACAAGUAUACAUAUGUAACAAACCUGCACGUUAUGCACAUGUACCCUAGAACUUAAAGUAUAAUAAUAAUAAAAAAUAAAUUAAAAAAAAAUCACACACACACAAAAAAAGAUCCUGCCAACAUUGGAAGCUGUUGCUGCCCUGGGGAACAAAGUUGUGGAAAGCCUAAGAGCACAGGAUCCUUCUGAAAUUUUAACCAUGCUGACCAAUGAAACUGGCUUUGAAAUCAGUUCUUCUGAUGCUACAGUGAAGAUUCUCAUUACAACAGUGCCACCCAAUCUUCGAAAACUGGACCCAGAA